ACGCGAUUAGCUCAGUGGGAGAGCGCCUCUGAUCGCAGAGAAGUAUCGGGACCGGUUCGAAUCCGGUAUAGUGUGGGCACACCGAGAAACGUCGCUGGUUCGAAUCCAGCAUCGCGUC
rnacentral:tRNA from 1 species